rnacentral:lncRNA from 10 species
GUUUUUGAUGAUGCUUAACUCACGUGCUUUGCUUAAAGAACUGCAGGGACUGACCUGAAACGCUAAGCAUGGAAUCCAGGUUGCAGAACAUCCCACUCUGGAAAGAAGGCUGAGCCGUUCAUCUGUAUUCCUGUUGCAAUCAAGCUAAUGCCAGCCAGACCACCAGAUUCUAGAUUCUUCCCUAUGAAUUCAUGUUCCUUUUGCAAUCAGAAAAGAAAAAGAAGUACUUUAUUUCACUUCCCCAGUUAUGAAUGCCUUGGGAGCCGGGAUUCUACCACGGCCGAGCCUGCCGUUCUCCCGGGAUUUUAUCCUGGUGGGCCUUUUGAAGCUGGUACAGAGAUAACAGACUCUUCUGCUGGCCUUCAAGAAGCAAGCUGCUGUGAGCUCUACAGCUGCACUGAACUGAAUUCUGCAAACAACUGUGCUUGGAAGAGGACCCUGAGCCUCACAUGAGACCCCAGCCCCAUCCAUUCCCUGGACUGCAGCUUUGUGAGACCCCCAGUUAAGUGUGCCUAGACUCCUGACCCAUGGACACUGUGAAAUAGUAAGCGUGUGUUGUUUUAAGUAACUUUGUAGUAAUUAUUUUUUACAUAGCAAUGGGAAAUCAAUACAAAUACUAUUUUAAAAAUCCAAAGUAAAUCCAGUACCCCCACCAUUACCUCAAUACCCACAGUCAUUGGCUGGGAGCAGCCUGGGAGAGCAGGCUCUUGUUAAGGGUUCAGGAAGGAAUCAAAGGUGUGGUAGCUGGAGGCUGUCAGCCAGGUUCUUUCCAAGGGAGAUGGAGCAGCCCAACUCCAGGUCCCCACACCUCCUGCUGACAUCUCCACCCACAAUUCAGCCGCUUCCCUCCCUCUUUAUUAAGACUUUUCUUGUGAAAUCACUAAAGACCUGCAAAUCCCCAGGCCAGGAUGAAGCCCACCAUCUCCUUUCUCUGUGCCUGCAACUGUGCCUCUAAGCCUUGGCAAUGGAAACGAAAGACACACCUUAGUAGUCACUGUAAAUGGAUCAUUGUCACCUUCCAAUGGACACACAACACUGCCCCUAACUCACAACACUCUCUAAUAAGUAUGUUCUUCUUCUCUUUGCAAUGGCAACCUCAUACCUUCUCUAAACUUCUCAAACCUCCCACCUCUCCUCCUCAUCCCCAACCCCUACCUGGCCCUUCACUUGAGACUCCGGCUGCUUAAUUAUACUUACUUGAGAAAAUGAAAUCUAUCAGUUUAGCACUCUCAUUUCCCCAUAACUGUAACCGCCCAAUGGGUUCACCUUGCCCGCUGCCUAGACAGAGCCUAUUUCCCAAGACAGGUGAAUUGCAAAGAGAAAGAGUGAUUCACACAGAGCCGGCUGUGCAGGAGACCAGAGUUUUGUUAUUACUCAAAUUAAUCUCCCAGAGCAUUCAGGCAUCAGAGUUUUUAAGGACAACUUAGUAGGUGGGGGGAAACCAGUGAAGCCAGGAGUGCUGAUUGGUCAGGUCAGAGGUGAAAUCAGGGGAAGUUGAGGCUGUCCUCUUGUGCUGAGUCAGUUCCUGGAUGGGGGCCACAAGAUCAGAUGAGCCAGUUUAUCAAUCUGGGUGGUGCAAGUUGAUCCAUCAAGUGCAGGGUCUGGAAAAUAUCUCAAGCACUGAUCUUAGGAGCAGUUGAGGGAGGGUCAGACUCUUGUAGUCUCCAGCUACAUAACACCUAAACCAUAAUUUAUAAUCUUGUGGCUCAUUUUUUGGUCCUAUAAAGGCAGUCUAGUCCCCAGGCAAGAAGGAGGUUUGUUUUGGGUAAAGGCUGUUAUCGUCUUUAUUUUAAACUAUAAACUAAGUUCCUCCCAAAGUUAGUUCAGCAUACGUCCAGGAAGGAGCAAGGACAACUUAAAAGUUUAGAACCAAGAUGGAGUCGGUUACGUUAGAUCUCUUUCACUGUCUCAGUCAUAAUUUUCCAAAGGCAGUUUCAUAACUAAUUUACAAAGCUCCCCCGGCCUGUCCCUUUCUUAUUUCUUCUUCCUGACAAAAUGAAGGGGGCAUUGCUUCUCCUAGCAAUGGCCAGUCCCUGUCAUGGCUCAGGGCCAGGUCUUCAUAAGGAUGUAACCAAAUCCAGGUUGAAAACCAAACGUUGAGAGACAAGAGUUGGGAGGAAAAGCAUGUUUAUUGGAGAACCAGCAAACUGAGAAGAUGGUGGGUUAGUGUCCUAAAAUACUGUCUCAAGUCAGUACAAAUUCCAGGCUUUUUUUAAUGUUAAGGUCAGGAGGAACAGGAGGGCCUUGGUAUCAAGAUGUAACCGAUGAUUGUCGACAACUCUGCACCAGCAAGGGUCUGAAGAAGUUGGGAAUUUCUUUGUCUUUGGUCAGGUCACAACGCUCCAAUAAAUCUUUAACCAAACA